rnacentral:rRNA from 1 species
UGGGGAAUUUUGGACAAUGGGGGAAACCCUGAUCCAGCCAUCCCGCGUGUGCGAUGAAGGCCUUCGGGUUGUAAAGCACUUUUGGCAGGAAAGAAACGUCGCGGGUUAAUACCCCGCGAAACUGACGGUACCUGCAGAAUAAGCACCGGCUAACUACGUGCCAGCAGCCGCGGUAAUACGUAGGGUGCAAGCGUUAAUCGGAAUUACUGGGCGUAAAGCGUGCGCAGGCGGUUCGGAAAGAAAGAUGUGAAAUCCCAGAGCUUAACUUUGGAACUGCAUUUUUAACUACCGGGCUAGAGUGUGUCAGAGGGAGGUGGAAUUCCGCGUGUAGCAGUGAAAUGCGUAGAUAUGCGGAGGAACACCGAUGGCGAAGGCAGCCUCCUGGGAUAACACUGACGCUCAUGCACGAAAGCGUGGGGAGCAAACAGGAUUAGAUACCCUGGUAGUCCACGCCCUAGACGAUGUCAACUAGCUGUUGGGGCCUUCGGGCCUUGGUAGCGCAGCUAACGCGUGAAGUUGACCGCCUGGGGAGUACGGUCGCAAGAUUAAAACUUAAAUGAAUUGAC